rnacentral:rRNA from 1 species
GCUUAUACUCGACCGUCAGCGGCACGUGCGAUCGCGCGUUUCGGCGCGCGGUCACCAAGCCCUGACGAGUAGGAGGGUCGCGGCGGUGAGCGCAGAAGGGCUGGCCGCGAGGCCGUCUGGAGCCGCCGUCGGUGCAGAUCUUGGUGGUAGUAGCAAAUACUCCAGCGAGGCCCUGGAGGACUGACGUGGAGAAGGGUUUCGUGUGAACAGCCGUUGCACACGAGUCAGUCGAUCCUAAGCCCUAGGCGAAAGCCGAUGUCGAUGCGGUGUGGAUUUAUCUUUUUUACGACGACGAAGAACGAGACAAAUGUUAAUUCGUUUCUUUAACGACGUAUAACGAGUCGAUCGAACACACCCAUCGGGCGAAAGGGAAUCCGGUUCCUAUUCCGGAACCUGGCAGCGGAACCGUCAAAAAGUCGGGC